AUUGAACGCUGGCGGCAUGCCUUACACAUGCAAGUCGAACGGCAGCACGGACUUCGGUCUGGUGGCGAGUGGCGAACGGGUGAGUAAUGUAUCGGAACGUACCUUUCAGUGGGGGAUAACGUAGCGAAAGUUACGCUAAUACCGCAUAUUCUGUGAGCAGGAAAGCAGGGGAUCGAAAGACCUUGCGCUGACUGAGCGGCCGAUAUCAGAUUAGCUAGUUGGUGGGGUAAAGGCCUACCAAGGCGACGAUCUGUAGCGGGUCUGAGAGGAUGAUCCGCCACACUGGAACUGAGACACGGUCCAGACUCCUACGGGAGGCAGCAGUGGGGAAUUUUGGACAAUGGGGGCAACCCUGAUCCAGCCAUGCCGCGUGAGUGAAGAAGGCCUUCGGGUUGUAAAGCUCUUUCGGCCGGGAAGAAAUCGCAUAGGCUAAUACCCUGUGUGGAUGACGGUACCGGAAGAAGAAGCACCGGCUAACUACGUG
rnacentral:rRNA from 1 species